UACGUAGGGUGCGAGCGUUGUCCGGAAUUAUUGGGCGUAAAGAGCUCGUAGGCGGUCUGUCGCGUCGAUCGUGAAAACUUGGGGCUUAACCCUGAGCUUGCGGUCGAUACGGGCAUGACUGGAGUUCGGCAGGGGAGACUGGAAUUCCUGGUGUAGCGGUGAAAUGCGCAGAUAUCAGGAGGAACACCAGUGGCGAAGGCGGUGCUCUGGGCCGGAACUGACGCUGAGGAGCGAAAGCGUGGGGAGCAAACAGG
rnacentral:rRNA from 1 species